rnacentral:tRNA from 1 species
AAAUUUAGGUUACAUAAAACCAAAGGCCUUCAAAGCCUUAAACAGGGCACCAAACAUACCCUAAUUUCUG